AACGCUGGCGGCAGGCCUAACACAUGCAAGUCGAGCGCCCCGCAAGGGGAGCGGCAGACGGGAGAGUAACACGUGGGAACGUGCCCUUCAGUUCGGAACAACCCAGGGAAACUUGGGCUAAUACCGGAUACGUCCGUAAGGAGAAAGAUUUAUCGCUGAAGGAUCGGCCCGCGUCUGAUUAGCUUGUUGGUGGGGUAACGGCCCACCAAGGCUACGAUCGGUAGCUGGUCUGAGAGGAUGACCAGCCUCACUGGGGCUGAGACACGGCCCAGACUCCUACGGGAGGCAGCAGUGGGGAAUAUUGGACAAUGGGCGCAAGCCUGAUCCAGCCAUGCCGCGUGGGUGAUGAAGGCCCUAGGGUUGUAAAGCCCUUUCGGCGGGGAAGAUAAUGACGGUACCCGCAGAAGAAGCCCCGGCUAACUUCGUGCCAGCAGCCGCGGUAAUACGAAGGGGGCUAGCGUUGCUCGGAAUUACUGGGCGUAAAGCGCACGUAGGCGGGUUGCUAAGUCGGGGGUGAAAUCCUGGAGCUCAACUCCAGAACUGCCUUCGAUACUGGCGAUCU
rnacentral:rRNA from 1 species